CGUCGGUCAACUACUCCGGCUCCAAUGGGACCCGAGUCGGAAACGAGAAGCAGCCCUUCUCGGAAAACUGGCUCCACCCUGCGGCGUGGACGGGGUUCCCUCUCAGCGCGCGCUGCUCACCGUCAAGGUCAAAACUCCGGGGUCAGACAGUGACCCCACCGGCCAGAAGGAUGAGUGGUUCGUGUGAGAGGCAGUGCCCCCGCAGGGGGGCGUGGCCUGCUGACCCCAGCGGACACGCCCACGCGGCGAGGAGGUGGGGAGUGGCUGGCUGGUUCGGUCUGUCGUUCAUCUGAUCGGCCCAGCGGUCAUCGCCAGCGUCAUCGGGGAGCGACAGACUCCCGACGGCGCUCCAACUCACCGGAGGCUGGGGAGACAGCCGAGCCGGCGCUCCAGGCUGGCGGAGGCUGAAGACGUCCGUGUCGGGAAUGUAGUUCAUCUGCGGCCGAGACACCUGUGUCGGGGCUGUAGUUCAUCUGCAGCCGAGACGCCCGUGUCGGGACUGUAGUUCAUCUGCGGCCGAGACACCUGUGUCGGGACUGUAGUUCAUCUGCGGCCGAGAUGCCCGUGUCAGAACACUGGGCCGUCUGAUACUGAGGGCCUGGUGCUCGCACCGCUGUCAACUGAGGGACUUAUCGGAACUCCGGAGCAACUAAGGCCGGUGAAGCGCCCGUGGUCCGACUCUAGGCCACCCUAGGCUGGGGAGACGGCAGUGACGGGUCUCCAGACUGUCUCAGACAAAGGGGCACCAGUGCGCGGUAGGGAUUCAGUGACCGGAGACAGUGUACGCAUCCUGGGCCGGGGCCCUGGAUCAUCUGCGACCGCGGAGAGGCCUCUCAGCCGUGCCGAGGAGUGUCAGGCCCCGUGCCGUCGGGUGGCGGGACGACAGCCGAGCCGUGACAUUAGGUCAGUCAGGGCCGAGGCGACACCCGCGCCGUGCGGGGCGUUUGGGUGCCCCGAGUCGGGGCAGCUGGUCCCGCUGGCCAAGCUGGACAGGCCCAGUGACGGACACCGCUGCGGUCGACUGAGCAGCUUUCCAUGGCAACCCUCCGAAACCCGGGACAAACACCACCGGGGCCGGACGCCCAAUGUGCCCUCUCCAGCCCGCUGGUCAUGUCCGCCUGCAGCGCAAGGCUUCACCAAAGCAGACCUUUAGCGUGCAGACGUCCGGCGUCGCGCGCUCGACGCAGCGCCCAGCUCCUGCCACCUGUGCGGCCGGGGGGCCUUGUCGACAAGUCCGGAACGGCAGGCGGGCGACACAAACACACCGGUCAGACGAGACCGACGGGCGCCGCUGACACGCGCGCGGCCGGCGUACCCCUGUGUGCGCACUUGCGUGCCUAUGUGAGCGUAGAAGUGCGUGCUGUACGCGUGGGUGUGUGGCGCUGGACUUGUGAACCCGCGAGACACGAGCCCGCGCGUGCCAGUGAAUGCUUACGUAGGCUGAACUCAUCUCGUGUGUGUGCGUGCAUGUGCGUGUCGUCCGGAUGAGCGCGCCCCCGCAGGUGUGCGCCCCGGCAUGUGCGUCACUUCCCUGUGCCUGGAGGUUAGGGUUGUGUGUCAUCCCGCGUCCCCCGCGCGCAUCGGUUAGGUAGAUCAUGGCUUUAAUAGCGGUCCCGGGCGUCGCCCCGCGCGCAGGCGGGCUGUCUCGGCGCCGGACUCGCCGUAGUCUCGCCGUAGUAGCAUCGCGCCGCUGCCGUGGUUCCCGCCGCCUCUCGGCAUCUCAUGUCACGGUAUCAUGUGAUAUCUCCGUUUGACUGCUAGCAAACGCGCCUGUUCCGUUCCGGAAGUGGAGCUCGUUUUUGUUCAUUUCGGCCCAAAGUUUCGCGCGACACCAAAAAGCGCGGCUCCGCCCCGGCGCGCGCCGCUUGAUCUGCAUGUUCGCCGCGACGCGCUCUCAUAUCAGGCUAAAACAUAUCCCGGCAUACGUAUCAACGCACGACCAGCGUCCACAAGUUACAUAUGCGAAGCGACUUUUCGAAGCGUUUACGGCGUUUUGGUGUAUUCGUAAUGACACCCGCGUUGUGGAAGUGCACCAUCGGGCGAGUGAACGGGCGCUGUUUUCGACCAUCACUUUGAGGCUGCGUGACAGAAUAGCCUGUAUCCGGAGUAGUGCAUGUGCGCGGACGGUUCAGAAGGCACGCAGAACGGUUGCUAAGGCGACCUGGGCGCGUUAGCCAGCGACGCAUCUGGUUGCCAUGGUCACUGAAAGCAGCCCGAGUGGCAGCCCGACAGUCUUGCCUGCCUCGGCGCGUAGUGAGUUACAUUUCUGUGUUGAGUUUUUGUAAAUUUGUAUCGAGUCGUUCUUGUAUGUAGCGCACGGAUCUUCGCUGUUUGUACAUAACGUCACCGGUAACAUAACAAGCAAAUACACCGCAACAACAUUCCCA
rnacentral:lncRNA from 1 species